UACGUAGGGGGCAAGCGUUGUCCGGAUUUAUUGGGCGUAAAGAGCGUGUAGGCGGUCUGGUAGGUCCGUUGUGAAAACUCGAGGCUCAACCUCGAGACGCCGAUGGAAACCAUCAGACUAGAGUCCGGAAGAGGAGAGUGGAAUUCCUGGUGUAGCGGUGAAAUGCGCAGAUAUCAGGAGGAACACCAAUGGCGAAGGCAGCUCGCUGGGACGUGACUGACGCUGAGACGCGAAAGCGUGGGGAGCAAACAGG
rnacentral:rRNA from 1 species